UGAGAUGGCAAAGAAGGAAGGACUAUUGCCUUCCAAAAUCCUAUCUCCUAACUCCUCUAUCUACUAGACAAGUUUCAUUUUCUGGUUAUUCAGUUUUAUGUUCAUGGAUUUUGUUGGUCCAAGUCUCUAAGCGACCAUUUUUGCAUUGACUAGUAAACUAUAACAAUUUUUCUUAUGAGUGCUAGCGUCGGUCAUUGGUGACAUGAUUGAUGUACUUAGACCAUUGAUUAAGGCUAUGAUAGUAAAUAUGGUCUAUGAUUAAGGCUGUAAUUUUUAUCCAAAAACUUGUCUAUAAACGAGUUGAUAGAAAUUAGAAAGACAAGAGAUAGUGGUAUUACUUCGAAACACAAUUAAAACGCUCUUUAGAAGCAUCUACAAAGAGGUCUUUACUUUG
rnacentral:misc_RNA from 1 species